AGAUCAUGGCUCGAAGGAUAGAACGCUAGGCGGCGAGGACUUUAAUACAUGACAAGUACGAAGGGGGUAGCAAUACAACCGGCGCACGGGUGAGUAACGCGUACACAACAUACCAUAUACUGGGGUAUAGCUUCGGGAAACUGGAGAUAACUCCCCCAUAACAUUGCGAGAGGGCAUCUGAUUGCAAUUAAAGUUUCGACGGUAUAUGAUUGGUGUGCGUUUGAUUAGCUUGUUGGUAGGGUAACGGCCUACCAAGGCGACGAUCAAUAGCUGGCGUGAGAGCGCGACCAGCCACACUGGAACUGAGACACGGUCCAGACUCCUACGGGAGGCAGCAGUAGGGAAUAUUGGACAAUGGGCGAAAGCCUGAUCCAGCCAUGCCGCGUGAUAGAUGAAGGCCCUCUGGGUUGUAAAUAUCUUUAUCUGGGAGGAAACUCCUCUAUUCUUAGAGGCCUGACGGUACCAGAGGAAUAAGCACCGGCUAACUCCGUG
rnacentral:rRNA from 1 species